UCCAAGUAAAGUCAGAGUUCAAAUUCAAUAUAAAAUCUAUUUUCUCUCUUUUAGAAAAAUUUCCACUCAUACUCAAACUAAGAUGCUCUAACACCUCUUCCCAAGAUCAACCUGGUAGACAUACUACUAACGUUGAUAUAGUGGUAAGUAGGUCGUUUACCUCACUAUCACAGCGGAUAGUUGUUGACAAUUAUACGUCCUAGGUACACACUACUCGCAGAGGAUUCCUUGAGUUUCAACCUCAACAUAAGUGCGGUGGAAAUUCCUUCUAAUAUGUGUGAUUGUUGUAGGCGCUAUGUGCGAGGAUUCCUGAGUUUCAACCUCAACAUAAGUGCGGUGAGAAUUCCUUUUAAUAUGUGUGGUUGUUGUAGGCGCUAUGUGUUGUUGUUGUAGGUCGUUUACCUCGCUCAAAAUUUGGGCUCGAUUUCCACUGAUCACAACAGAUGGUUGUUGACAACUCUACGUUCUAGGUGCACUCUACUCGCAGAGAAUUCCUGAGUUUCAACCUCAACAUAAGUGCGGUGAGAAUUCCUUUUAAUAUGUGUGGUUGUUGUAGGCGCUAUGUGUUGUUGUUGUAGGUCGUUUACCUCGCUCAAAAUUUGGGCUCGAUUUCCACUGAUCACAACAGAUGGUUGUUGACAACUCUACGUUCUAGGUGCACUCUACUCGCAGAGAAUUCCUGAACUUCAACCUCAACAUAAGUGCGGUGAGAAUUCCUUUUAAUAUGUGUGGUUGUUGUAGGCGCUAUGUGUUGUUGUUGUAGGUCGUUUACCUCGCUCAAAAUUUGGGCUCGAUUUCCACUGAUCACAACAGAUGGUUGUUGACAACUCUACGUUCUAGGUGCACUCUACUCGCAGAGAAUUUCUGAACUUCAACCUCAACAUAAGUGCGGUGGAAAUUCCUUCUGACAUGUGUGGUUGUUGUAGGCCCUAUGUGCCCGGUUGAGAGUUAGGAAUACUUUACCUAUCUCCUAUUUUUUACACACAAAAAAUGGUAACUGCCAACUGGACACCAUAUCUACUCAAUUUCACCUUAAACAUGUUUAGGUCUUUAACAAGUGAAAGAAUAAAUUUUAAUGUCCAAGAUCAUUAUUAUCUUGAA
rnacentral:lncRNA from 1 species